GAGAGGUUAUUUUAAGCUUAUAGAAAAUUGUCAUGUCAUGACAAAAGUGUUAUAGACACCUCUUG
rnacentral:tRNA from 1 species